AACGAACGCUGGCGGCGCGCUUAACACAUGCAAGUCGAACGAGAAGGCGUAGCAAUACGCUUGUAAAGUGGCGAACGGGUGAGGAAUACAUGGGUAACCUACCCUCGAGUGGGGGAUAAC
rnacentral:rRNA from 1 species